rnacentral:tRNA from 1 species
GCGGACAAAAGAUUACGGAAGUCGGGGAGUGCGCCACACUUCCAGCCCGGGUUCGAGUCCCGGUGUCCGCACCA